rnacentral:rRNA from 1 species
CCUACGGGAGGCAGCAGUGGGGAAUAUUGCGCAAUGGGCGAAAGCCUGACGCAGCGACGCCGCGUGCAGGAAGACGGCUCUAUGAGUUGUAAACUGCUUUUGUACAAGGGUAAACCUGAAUACGUGUAUUCAGCUGAAAGUACUGUACGAAUAAGGAUCGGCUAACUCCGUGCCAGCAGCCGCGGUAAUACGGAGGAUCCGAGCGUUAUCCGGAUUUAUUGGGUUUAAAGGGAGCGUAGAUGGGUUGUUAAGUCAGUUGUGAAAGUUUGCGGCUCAACCAUAAAAUUGCAAUUGAUACUGGCAGCCUUGAGUACAGUUGAGGUAGGCGGAAUUCGUGGUGUAGCGGUGAAAUGCUUAGAUAUCACGAAGAACUCCGAUUGCGAAGGCAGCCUACUAAACUGCCACUGACAUUGAUGCUCGAAAGUGUGGGUAUCAAACAGGAUUAGAUACCCUAGUAGUC